rnacentral:sRNA from 1 species
AAAAACGUGCGUUGGUCUGAAAACCCCAAGCACUGCAUCGCGGUGACGCUCACCAUAAUCGUUAUAAAGGACGCGACGAUGAGCGCAGGCACCCUGAG